GUACUAACCAGUGCACGUUGCCUCCUCAAAGAGGACUAUAACCUAAACAGGUCUUCUAAAAUACAAAUUCUCCUGGCAGCUUCCCUGCACAACCAGACUGCAACACAUUGUCCUUACUAUGGUCUUCACAGUGUGCCAUGCUGAAAGGUGCAGGAAUGCACAAAACGAUACAGGGGAAGCCAAUGGAAUUAGAUGUAUGCAGAGCCUCAUAGCCCAGAACCGUCCAGUGAAAUGAAGCAGCCCCAGACUGACUCAUUUAUUACCUAUUCAUUUGCUGUGAUGAAAUCUCCAGGAGCAAAAAUCCGCUGCAGUAUAGUAAUGUUUAAACAUUAAGACCUAUUCUGAUCAACUGAAAUUAUUCCUUAAACUGAGAACCACAAACAGAAUGUAUAUAAAAUAUAACUUGCAUAGAUGAUCACCAACAUCCUGUUUUUAAAAAAAUUAUUUUGCUAAGAAGAAAGAUCAAAUUCUUUGAAGUCUGGGUAUGUUUUACAUUAUGUCAAGCUGCUGUUUCCAUUAUUUCUUCUUUUCUCUGUCCACUAAAGGUUAAAUCAUACUUACCAAAGGCUCAUUUGCAGAGUUAUAAUAUGAAUCAGUGACAUCUUUAGGAUCAUAAUAAACCAGGAAACUGGGUAUGGA